rnacentral:rRNA from 1 species
CCGAAAGGAGCGCUAAUACCGCAUACAGCGUAUUGUGGUUCGCCACGAGACGGCAAAGGUGGGGACCGGCAACGGCCAAUCGUCGAAGGAGGAGUCUGCGGCCCAUCAGCUAGUUGGUAAGGUAACGGCUUACCAAGGCAAAGACGGGUAGCUGGUCUGAGAGGAUGAUCAGCCACACUGGUACUGGAACACGGACCAGACUCCUACGGGAGGCAGCAGUGGGGAAUCUUGGUCAAUGGGCGCAAGCCUGAACCAGCGAUGCCGCGUGAGUGAUGAAGGCCUUCGGGUUGUAAAGCUCUGUGGGGAGGGACGAAAGCCUCGGUUCUAACAGGACUGAGUUUGACGGUACCUCCUUAGCAAGCACCGGCUAACUCUGCGCCAGCAGCCGCGGUAAGACAGAGGGUGCAAACGUUGCUCGGAAUCACUGGGCGUAAAGGGCGUGUAGGCGGGAAGGUAAGUCGGGCGUGAAAUCCCUGGGCUCAACCCAGGAACUGCACUCGAAGCUACUUUUCUUGAGUGCCGGAGAGGAAAGCGGAAUACCUGGUGUAGAGGUGAAAUUCGUAGAUAUCAGG